ensembl:lncRNA
GAAAAUAAAAUUUCCCAUGUAACCAUUUGAAACAUAUUUUAUUGUGGCAAAAUACACAUAACAAGAUUCAGCAUCAGAAUUUUUUUUUUUUUUUUUUUUUUUGAGACAGAGUCUCCCUCUGUCACCAGGCCGGAGUAUAGUGGCGUGAUCUCAGCUCACGGCAAUCUCCGCCUCCAGGGUUCAAAUCCUGCCUCAGCCUCCCGAGUAGCUGGGAAUACAGGUGGGUGCCAUAACAUGCAACUAAUUUGUUUGUGUUUUUAGUAGAGACAGGAUUUCACCGUGUUGGCCAGGAUGUUCUCAGUCUCCUGGUCUCGUGAUCUGCUGGCCUUGGCCUCCCAAAGUGCUGCGAUUACAGGCUGGAGGCACCGCACCCGGCCAGAAUCAUUUCAAGUAUAGAACUGAAUGGCGUGAAGAUUCCACUCACAUUCUUGUGCAGCCACCAGCACCCUCCACCUCCAGAGCUCUCUCACCUCCCAAACUGAAGCUCUGUCCUCGCUGAUCAGUCACUCCUUGCCCCCUCGUCCCUGGCGCCCACCAUUCUACUUUCUGUGUCUGCAUCUGAGGAUUCCAGGGUGUUCACGUGAGUGCAAUCAUGCAGUAUUUGUCCUUCUGUGACUGGCUUAUCUCACCAAGCAUGGCGCUUCAAGGGCCAGCCACGCAGCGGCACGUGUCCAUAUAUCCUUCUUUUUUGCUAUAUGCAUAGGCCGUGCCUUGUUUAUUCACUCACCUGUCAGUGGACAGCUGUGUUGUUUUUAGGAUGUGACUUUGUGAAUCUUUGGGGAUUGAUCAGCUGACCAUGGAGGAAAUUCAUGAAAAGUUCAUGACAAGUGACUCUAGUGAAUCAACAAGUCCCGCUGACCACCUGUGCUGUAUCCUGGCUCAGGGCCUGCUGGAGGGGCUGGGCCGGCCACAUCUUCUACACAGCCCUCGGCCAGGGAUGACGGAAUGGAGGAGGAACACCCAGCUCCCUCUCCCUUUGGCAGUGAAUGUGAAAAUACACAAAGGGCCUUGCCGGCCACCCUUGCUUCGAGUCACUUCCUGGGACUUUUACAUUGCCAGGUGCUGGCACAGAGCCCAGUCUUGCAGGCGGCAAGAAGGCCCUGGGGGCACAUUCUCUCUGCAUGUGUGUGGCAGGAGCCUGCCAUGCCUACACACUGCCACCCAGAGACUCAGGUGAAGCGGAUCAAACAUGAAGAACUGUGUCCCCUGUGCUCUUGUGUGAGGCCAGGAGCCCCCAGGAACGCCAACAGCCAGGGGAGAAGGCAGGAGCAGAACGGGUCUGUUUGGAAAGGGUUUCUUUCCGAGUGGGGACAGCAGCUCUGCAGUGCCUGCUGUGGCUCGACCCUCAGACAUGUCCACGACCAUCACAUCCAGAAGGCCACGCCAUUCACAUUCAGGGUCAAGCAUGCUAUACCUCUGCCACUAUCCUCUCCUCAGCAAUGGCAGGAAGGGGUCUUGGAGAGCAAGAGGAACCCACACACACUGCGGUUGGAAGUGCAAGUCAGGGAAACCACUUUGAAAAGUUUGCGUUUCUACCGAAACUGAGUCUAAGUAUACUGUAUGACCCAGCAGCUUCAGUCCUAGGAAUACGCCCCACAGAGAUGCUUGGACAAGUCACAAGACACAUGUAUGAGGAUGUUACAUCAUGAUGCAUCAUACUCCCAAGUUAGAGACACCCCAAGUGGCCAUCAGCAGGGGACUUGGUGAAGGAAUUGCCAUAUGUUCCCAGAGCAGAUACCAUACAGUGGCAGAUACUGGUAGCCUUCAGCUGCACAUGUCAACAUGGAGGAAUCUCACAAAUGUAAUGUCGAGCAGAAGCCAGAUGCAAGUGAGCACAUCUGUGUAAUUUCACGUGAACAAUGCUGCCAGCAUGCACCUGUGCUUAGCAAUCCAUGCUUCCGUGGUAAAUCUACAAAGGGAAGGAGGCAAUUACCUUGAGGCAGAACGUCAGUGACCUUUGUGGGGAGAGGGCUGUGGAUGGGACGGGCUGGAGGGAGGUUCUGGGGAGUCAGGACUUGGGUGCUGGCCAUGUGGGGUUUGCUUCCUGGUAGUGCGUUGGACUGUUAGGUUUGUGGCACAUUUUUACAUGUACCACACUUGACAGUAAAAAUGAUUUAGAAAAAAUAAAAGUGUUUCAAGCAUGUCUGUCAGCUCUCAGAAAGGUCACCCAUGUGUGCCGUGCCCAUGCAUGCAUGCACGAACUCAUGUGAGCCGUGAGUGUUCAUACUAGCAUGUGCUGUG